CCCAUCUCGUUCGGCUGUUCUUGUUCCCCAAGGCCCCAAUUGAAGGCCAAUUCCCCCGGUCGCUGACGCUGGUGGCAGCCGCAAGCGCCGCCUGCUCGUCGCCGUCCGCUGCUCGUCUUCGUCCCGUACGGCCGCCAGGCGAGCUGCGGCUUCGACCGCAACCACACCAGCAGGGCAAGAGGUUGAUUAUCGGUUGGGUUCUGAUUUUCGGAUUCGUGGCUCUUGUAUUGAGGCGACAAACUAAAACAAUCAACAACCAUGCAGGCUAGUGAUAGGUUCAACAUAAAUUCUCAGCUUGAGCAUCUUCAAGCCAAAUAUGUUGGCACAGGACAUGCGGACUUGACCAGAUUUGAAUGGGCUGUAAACAUUCAGAGGGAUAGCUAUGCCUCUUAUAUUGGGCACUAUCCAAUGCUGGCAUAUUUUGCUAUUGCUGAAAAUGAAUCAAUUGGAAGAGAGCGUUACAAUUUUUUGCAGAAAAUGCUGCUUCCAUGCGGCCUCCCUCCUGAGAGAGAUGAAGACUGAGCCUCUGCAUGAUCCUAAUGCAUCACAAAAGUAGCUUGUAUUGAACUCAGGUACAGUCACUAUAUUUGGGAGCUACAGAGGAGAGAGAGGAGACGGUGCCAUCUGCCAGUGAGAACGAGAAAGGAGUGGACACAACGGGGACUUGCUCGCAAGGUCACUCGCGACGCGCCCGGAGGCCGGAGCUGAUCCGAUCCCUCACAGCACCGUAAGAGCAACUUUAGCAAAAUCUCUACUUGAAAUCCUGCUUAAAACAGGAACCGAAGGCACACAGGAGCAAUUUCAGCAAAAUUUCUACUUGAACUACUAUUUAAAAUAAGAAAUAAGAAAUAAGGACCGUGGAAAAAAAAUAUAUU